UACGUAAGGGGCGAGCGUUGCUCGGAAUUACUGGGCGUAAAGGGCUUGUAGGCGGUCUUGUAAGUCGAAUGUAAAAAACCACGGCUCAACCGUGGGGCUGCGUUCGAAACUGCAAGGCUAGAGUUUGGUGGAGGGCGAUGGAAUUCCCGGUGUAGCGGUGAAAUGCGUAGAUAUCGGGAAGAACACCGAAGGCUAAAGCAGUCGUCUAUGCCGAAACUGACGCUGAGGAGCGAAAGCAUGGGGAUCAAAC
rnacentral:rRNA from 1 species